rnacentral:rRNA from 1 species
GACGAACGCUGGCGGCGUGCUUAACACAUGCAAGUCGAACGGAAAGGCCUGCAGCUUGCUGCGGGUACUCGAGUGGCGAACGGGUGAGUAACACGUGGGUGAUCUGCCUUGCACUUCGGGAUAAGCUUGGGAAACUGGGUCUAAUACCGGAUAGGACAGCUGUUUAGUGUCAGUUGUGGAAAGUUUUUUCGGUGCAAGAUGAGCUCGCGGCCUAUCAGCUUGUUGGUGGGGUAAUGGCCUACCAAGGCGUCGACGGGUGGCCGGCCUGAGAGGGUGUACGGCCACAUUGGGACUGAGAUACGGCCCAGACUCCUACGGGAGGCAGCAGUGGGGAAUAUUGCACAAUGGGCGGAAGCCUGAUGCAGCGACGCCGCGUGGGGGAUGAAGGCCUUCGGGUUGUAAACUCCUUUCGACAGGGACGAAGCUUUUGUGACGGUACCUGUAGAAGAAGCACCGGCUAACUACGUG